UAGAAUUCUCCAGCAGGUUUUUACUGUUC
rnacentral:piRNA from 1 species